AGUGAACGCUGGCGGUAGGCCUAACACAUGCAAGUCGAACGGCAGCACAGUAAGAGCUUGCUCUUACGGGUGGCGAGUGGCGGACGGGUGAGGAAUACAUCGGAAUCUACUUUUUCGUGGGGGAUAACGUAGGGAAACUUACGCUAAUACCGCAUACGACUUACGGGUGAAAGCAGGGGAUCUUCGGACCUUGCGCGAUUGAAUGAGCCGAUGUCGGAUUAGCUAGUUGGCGGGGUAAAGGCCCACCAAGGCGACGAUCCGUAGCUGGUCUGAGAGGAUGAUCAGCCACACUGGAACUGAGACACGGUCCAGACUCCUACGGGAGGCAGCAGUGGGGAAUAUUGGACAAUGGGCGCAAGCCUGAUCCAGCCAUACCGCGUGGGUGAAGAAGGCCUUCGGGUUGUAAAGCCCUUUUGUUGGGAGAGAAAAGCAGCAGGUUAAUACCCCGCUGUUCUGACGGUACCCAAAGAAUAAGCACCGGCUAACUUCGUG
rnacentral:rRNA from 1 species